GGGAAAAUAGUAUAAAUAAUAUUACAAUUAAUUUAUGAUUAAUAGAUUUGGAUGCAAACCCCAAUUUUCUCC
rnacentral:tRNA from 1 species